UACCGAUAUAUGAUGAACGUCACAAAUAAAGACGCAAAUCAGUUAAACGCCUAUAGUAAAACGUACGCUUAUACAAGUGAGGACAGGAGCCGACGACAUAGCUCAACAUCUGAAAAUUUAACUGGUGUUACUUCUACGGGAACAAAGCCGCCCUUGAUUAUAGAUAUUAGUGCCAAAAAGGGAAGUAAAACCGAGGUUUUAGCUAAAACGAAGAUGGUGAAACCGCGAGAUAAUAAGAAAAGAAUGAUUGAUCCCAAAAACAAGAAAGAUGUGAAUGAUGCCAAAAAUGAAGAAGAACCAACAGUGGUAUCGAAACAUAAAUUGUUCCAGCUACUACUUCAACAUCGGAUACACUGGGAUCUUCAUGGAUACCUUUAUCUGCAGGUAGGUCAGUUUCUUGCUCGCAAAUAUUCUCGUGCUCAACAACAAUGGCAGCGGCUGCAAUGGAUGUAGUCUCGGUUACUGAAUCGAAUCCAGAUGGUACUUCCACAACAAGUUCAGUCGGAUCUUCGUAAAGUCCUUCGUCUACAGGUAGGUCAGUUUCAGGUUCGCGAAUAUUCUCGUGCUCAACAACAGUGGCAGCGGCUGCAAUGGGUGAAGUCUUGGUUAUUGGAUCGAAUCCAGAUGGUACUUCUACAACAGGUUCAGUCGGAUCUUCGUAAAGUCCUUCAUCUGCAGGUAGAUCAGUUUCAGGUUCGCGAAUAUUCUCAGGCUCAACAACAGAGGUAGUGGCUACACUGGGUGUAGUCUUGGUUAUUUGAUUUUCUUCUGUUAAUCUACGACGCACCAGGUGAGGUACAAUAUUUUCAAUUCGUCGGACUAUGCAUUUUUUUUUUUUUUGACGUGUUAAAUUUCCAUCAGCGGUCUUAUGUGUGAUGUUAUUAUCUCUUCCUUGGUGUGAGUCAAGAUGUAAUUCACUCACCUCUAUUUUUCCAGGACCAGAAGCUGUAUCUGAUUUAGAUAUCGUUUGCUCUGUCUUUUUCAUCAAGAUUGAUACUUCUUCCAUUGAUAAUUUCCGUAUCAACACUCGAGGUUGCCUACAUUUAAUUUCUUGUAGUGUGCGUGAUGAUAUUCGGAGACUCUGUCGUCUGGGUUGUUCGUCGAUAGCACUUUUUUUUUUAUUUUUUCCUCAACUUUUUUACAAUGUCGAACUUUUGUUGCAGUUUUAUUUUUUUUCAGGUUCGGAUAGUUUACCUUGAAUUUUUCCGUUGGAGUCGAAUCCUGUUGAAAUAAAACUCUUAAUACUUUAUUUUUAGUUCUUAGCAUGUACUUUUUAAAUUUUUACUAACCUUAGUUUCAUGUUUGUGUUUUAAAUUUGCUUUUUUCACCACCAGUAAUUGUUUCUCUUCAUCGGCAGCUAGUUUCACCACCAUCGGAUAUUCGCACUUUUGAGGGCUAUUCGAAAUCAUAUUAAACAUUUAAACAUUUAAAUUAUCUUAUUGACUGAUAGUUAUUAGUAAG